GUGGGGAAUCUUGCGCAAUGGGCGAAAGCCUGACGCAGCGACGCCGCGUGCGGGAAGAAGGCCUUCGGGUUGUAAACCGCUUUCAGGGGGGACGAAGCCACUCGGGUGAAUAGCCCAGAGGGUGACGGUACUCCCAGAAGAAGCCCCGGCUAACUACGUGCCAGCAGCCGCGGUAAUACGUAGGGGGCAAGCGUUGUCCGGAUUUAUUGGGCGUAAAGAGCGUGUAGGCGGCCAGAUAGGUCCGCUGUGAAAACUCGAGGCUCAACCUCGAGCUGUCGGUGGAAACCAUCUGGCUAGAGUCCGGAAGAGGAGAGUGGAAUUCCCGGUGUAGCGGUGAAAUGCGCAGAUAUCGGGAAGAACACCCGUGGCGAAGGCGGCUCUCUGGGACGGUACUGACGCUGAGACGCGAAAGCGUGGGGAGCGAACAGGAUUAGAUACCCGGGUAGUCC
rnacentral:rRNA from 1 species